rnacentral:misc_RNA from 1 species
GUAGGUGAACCUGCGGAAGGAUCAUUAGUGAAUUUUAGGGCGUCUAUUUCGGUAGAGCCUGACCCCCACUUUCUAACACUGUGCAAUUAUUGGCGGGAAAUAAAUGAAACAAUUUUAAAGAAUUGUGAAGUAGUUUUCCUGCGGCUCACUUUUAAACACCAGUCAAAGUAUGUAACGAAAUAUCGAAAUAAAAAAAAACUUUCAACAACGGAUCUCUUGGCUCUC